GGGGAUGUGGCUUAGUGGUAGAGUGCUUGGCUAGCAUUCAUGAAGUGCUGAGUUCGAUUCCUCAGCACCA
rnacentral:tRNA from 1 species